rnacentral:rRNA from 1 species
GGUUGAUCCCUGGCUCAGAUUGAACGCUGGCGGGAUGCUUUACACAUGCAAGUCGAACGGCAGCACGGACUUCGGUCUGGUGGCGAGUGGCGAACGGGUGAGUAAUGUAUCGGAACGUGCCUAGUAGCGGGGGAUAACUACGCGAAAGCGUAGCUAAUACCGCAUACCUUCCCUUCGGGGGAAAAGCGGGGGACCUUCGGGCCUCGCACUAUUAGAGCGGCCGAUAUCAGUUAGCUGGUUGGUGGGGUAACGGCUCGCAAGGCGACGGUCCGUAGCUGGUUUGAGAGGACGACCAGCCACACUGGGACUGGGACGGCUGGCAGACUCUACGGAGGCAGCAGUGGGGAAUUUUGGACAAUGGGGAAACCCUGAUCAGCCAUCCCGCGUGUGCGAUGAAGGCCUUCCGGGUUGUAGCACUUUUGGCAGGAAAGAAACGGCACGGGAUAAUACCCCGUGCAACUGACGACACCUGCAAGAAUAAGCACCGGCUAACGCGUGCAGCAGCCGCGGUAAUACGUAGGGUGCAAGCGUUAAUCGGAAUUACUGGGCGUAAAGCGUGCGCAGGCGGUUCGGAAAAGAAAGAUGUGAAAUCCCAGAGCUUAACUUUGGAACUGCAUUUUAACUACCGAGCUAGAGUGUCUAAUAAGGGGUGGAAUUCCGCGUGUAGCAGUGAAACACGUAGAUGUCCGGAGGAACACCGAUGGCGAAGGCAGCCUCUGGGGAUAACACUGACGCUCAUGGCACGAAAGCGUGGAGCAGAGCAGGAUUAGAUGCCCUGGUAGUCCACGCCCUAAACGAUGUCAACUAGCCUGUUGGGGCCAGCCGGGCCUUGGUAGCGCAACAACGCGACAGUUGACCGCCUGGGAAAUACGGUCGCAAGAUUAAACUCAAAGGAAUUGACGGGGACCCCGCACCGGCAGUGGAUGAUGUGGAUAAAUUCGAUGCAACGCGAAAAACCUUACCUACCCUUGACAUGUCUGGAAUCCCGAAGAGAUUUAAGGUGCUCGCAAGAAAGAACCGGAACACAGGUGCUGCAUGGCUGUCGUCAGCUCGUGUCGUGAGAUGUGUUUAAGUCCGCAACGAGCGCAACCCUUGUCCAUUAGUUGCUGCGAAAGGGCACUCCUAAUGAGACUGCCGGUGACAAACCGGAGAGGAAGGUGGGGAUGACGUCAAGUACUCAUGGCCCUUAUGGGCAGGGCUUCACACGUCAUACAAUGGUCGGGACAGAGGGUCGCCAACCCGCGAGGGGGAGCCAAUCCCAGAAACCCGAUCGUAGUCCGGAUCGCAGUCUGCAACUCGACUGCGUGAAGUCAGAAUCGCUAGUAAUCGCGGAUCAGCAUGUCGCGGUGAAUACGUUCCCGGGUCUUGUACACACCGCCCGUCACACCAUGGGAUGGGUUUUACAGAAGUAGUUAACCUAACCAUCGGAGGGCGGUCUACGGUAGGAUUCAUGACUGGGGUGAAGUCGUAACAAGGUAA